UGAGCGGGUCAUGGAUUCUAUAUACCUUCCAACUACGUCCUUGCAUGGAUAGCGAUAUGCUCAUAUUUCGCCAUGCAUAUUUGUUAGUUAUCCCAAUUAAAGAAUAAUCAUUCAUUAAUUAGAAAACUUGUCCUACGUAAAAGAAUUCGUUACGCAUUCUCAUAUUCCAUAUCCUGCUUGGUACGAUGUCAGAUCAAACGGGGAAAUUUUAAAAUUAAGUUGUCUUCUCAGUGUCCAAAUUUUUUUUUGUUUAAUGUCUAUAAGAGUAUUGUUGUUCCCUAUCUCACACCAUGUCGAUGUAUUUGAUAUCGCAGCCCCGAAAUGAGCCAAAGGGAGACGCAAACAUGAUCCGAACGGCGCUGCCUCCUUGUUCACCCUCGCAAACGGCGAUACCUCAGCUGUGUAAUCUUUUUGCCAAAUAGUGUUGCUUCACGAGUAUUGAAUAUAGGCACCAUACAAUGCACACCAUUUGAAUAGCGGGACACUCUGCAAUGAAUCACGCUCCAUUUGAAUAGCUCAAUUGCUGUGCAUCUUAAUACAUUUGCACAUCUUUCCUAAUGUUCUUUUCCCUGUUGAAUUAUAUCACCUUUCCACGUUAGAAACAAAAUGAAAACUUCGAAAUAUAUGCUAG
rnacentral:lncRNA from 1 species